UACGUACUCCCUCCGUUCCGAAUUACUUGUCUCAGAAAUGGAUGUAUUUAGAACUAAAAUACAUCUAGAUACAUUCAUUUCUGCGACAACUAAUUCCGAACGGAGGGAGUAGAUC
rfam:Triticum aestivum genome assembly, contig: Triticum_aestivum_CS42_TGACv1_scaffold_112362_2AS